rnacentral:misc_RNA from 1 species
AUGAAUCAAAGUCGGUCUUCUGUGCUGGUGGUCACACACAUGUGCACGUUGAUCGCAAAUACACACACCUGUGCACCUUUGACUUUGGGAUCUGCUUGUCCCGAAGUAAUCUUUACACACUCUGAAUGUAAUGGAAUGUAUCUGUGCAUAAUGCACAAAAUA